AAUCAUAAUGGCCGAAAAUCUAAGGUUUCUUGGGGAAGGUUCGUCCGCCCAAGGUAAGCCGGGAGCUAAGGCGAGGCCGCAAGGCGUAGUCGAUGCACAUACGGUAGAAAUUCCGUAGCCGCCGAACUUUAAGCAUGCUGACACUUUGGAAUAGGGGAACCCGGGCGUUGGUCGACCCGGGCGUAAGGGACCGAAAAAUAGUAGGGAAGUCCUUGAUGUCCAGAGGCGAGAAAAGGCAUGUGGUAUACUAAGGCGCCCGUACCGCAAACCGACACAGGUAGAUGAGGAGAGAAUCCUAAGGCCAACGGGAGAAGGGUUGUUAAGGAACUCGGCAAAAUGACCCCGUAACUUCGGGAUAAGGGGAGCCCCCUACGGGGGGCCGCAGAGAAUAGGCCCAAGCGACUGUUUACCAAAAACACAGGUCUAUGCUAAAUCGAAAGAUGACGUAUAUGGGCUGACGCCUGCCCGGUGCUGGAAGGUUAAGAGGAGAGCUUAGCGCAAGCGAAGGUUUGAAUUGAAGCCCCAGUAAACGGCGGCCGUAACUAUAACGGUCCUAAGGUAGCGAAAUUCCUUGUCAGGUAAGUUCUGACCCGCACGAAAGGCGUAAUGAUUUGGGCACUGUCUCAACAGCCCGCCCGGCGAAAUUGUAGUACUGGUGAAGAUGCCAGUUACCCGCAACUAGACGGAAAGACCCCAUGGAGCUUUACUGCAGCUUAAUACUGGAAUUCGGUAAAUCAUGUACAGGAUAGGUGGGAGACAGGGAAGCAUUGGCGUCAGCCAGUGUGGAGUCGCUGGUGGGAUACCACUCUUGAUUUGCUGGAUUUCUAACCUGCGGCCGUGAAUCCGGUCGGGGGACACUGUUAGGCGGGCAGUUUGACUGGGGCGGUCGCCUCCAAAAGAGUAACGGAGGCGCUCAAAGGUUGGCUCAGCACGGACGGAAAUCGUGCAAUGAGUGUAAACGUAUAAGCCAGCCUAACUGCGAGACCGACGGGUCGAGCAGUAACGAAAGUUGGAGUUAGUGAUCCGGCGGUAUGUGAGUGGAAAUGCCGUCGCUCAACGGAUAAAAGCUACCCUGGGGAUAACAGGCUGAUCUCCCCCAAGAGUCCACAUCGACGGGGAGGUUUGGCACCUCGAUGUCGGCUCAUCGCAUCCUGGGGCUGAAGUAGGUCCCAAGGGUUGGGCUGUUCGCCCAUUAAAGCGGUACGCGAGCUGGGUUCAGAACGUCGUGAGACAGUUCGGUCCCUAUCUGUCGUGGGCGCAGGAUAUUUGAGGAGUGCUGUCCUUAGUACGAGAGGACCGGGAUGGACGCACCUCUGGUGCACCAGUUGUCACGCCAGUGGCACAGCUGGGCAGCUAUGUGCGGAACGGAUAAACGCUGAAAGCAUCUAAGCGUGAAGCCGCCUCCAAGAUAAGAUAUCCCAUAGCAUAAGCUAGUAAGACCCCUCAUGGACUAAGAGGUUGAUAGGCUGCAUGUGUAAGCGCGGUGACGCGUUUAGCUUGGCAGUACUAAUAGGUCGAGGGCUUGACUU
rnacentral:rRNA from 1 species